GAGUAAUGACUUGAAAAAUCGUCCAGCACUUCAACCUCCCUUCAUUUUCCCAACCCCAGGGCGCAACCCUCCCUCCUCCCUCGCGCGUCCUGCGCCGCCGCCGCUUGGAGUCUUGGAGAGUGGAGCCCCUCUUCUCCAGCCCUCGAUGGCGACCUCUCCUGCGCCAACCUCCUCCCGUCGUUCCCUGUCCUUGGGAACGCCAGAUGCCGCCUCCGCGACGUGACGCCGCCGCCGCCCCGGAGCCCCAUGCUUUCCAAGAUCUGCCUCUUGUUGGCGGCCGCCAGCAGCCCCUUCAGGGAGCCCCACGACUCGGCAUCGUCCCUAAGGACACCCCAUGGCGAUGACGGUCGGCAGGCCGCGGUGGUGGACGGGAGCCACAGGGCCGACGCUCUUCCCGGCGCUAUGCUCUGCUCCCACCAGCCACUCACCUUCCUCGGCCUGCACCGCACCGGCACUUGGGGUAACCAUUCAUAGGCUGGUCAAAUCAUGUCAAGUUCAUUUGUCUGCAGACUUUUCAGAUCAAAUGAUGGAGAGGUCUCUUGGGUUGCUCAUGCAAAUAUUUGUGAAGCUGUUCCUCACCAUGGAGGUUGACAUGGAGCAGGUUGACGUGUUGUAUUUCCUUACUUUUCUUUUCAAGAUUCAUGGAGCAGGUUGACGUGAUCUUACUUUGCUUCAUCUUCAGAGAAGGCCAUGAGGAGUCGAGUAUGAGAAGUUGAUACCCAUAUUUCCACUAUUUAGUUCUGCAGCUAUAUGAGUACUGAUACUAAUAAAAAAGAAAGCUAAUUUUGUUUCUUCUAUGGGUGAUACAGCUAAAGUCAGGAGAUUGUAUGACAUUGCAAAUGUGUUGUCUUCACUGAAGCUCAUUCAGAAGGUAGGCUACAAUAAAAUUACUGACAAGCCGGCUGCACUUGAGUGUUAAGCGAUGUUUCUGAAUCUGUUCUUGAAUCUUGUCAGUCCGAUAGGUACCGAGCGGCUCGACAAUAUUAUGUCAUAUUAAGCGUUGAACAGCUAUAUGCAUCUUUUUUUUUCUUAUUGCCCUCUUCUAGAGGUUGCAAGUACUAACAUUAUAUGUGUUCCAUGAAAAUUAGUGUUCCAUGCAUAUGUGUGAUUUUGAAAUACUAGCUGUAGGAUGCAUCUAUUUUCGAUAACUUCACUGCAGGAGUCUCCUACUGCUUAAUGGAUUGAAGAAAAUAGCGUGUCUUCACAUCGGCAUCUGAUUCAGUUCCUGCGAACAGAGGAAGAUGCUAGAAGCUUUUGCGUCGGGAACUCUUCCACGACUGCAUGUUAUAUUGACAGCAAUAGCUGCUUGAUGCGUCUACUUGAGCGAUUUAGCAUGGCGUGGAGAAAACAAGAUGGAAAGCAUUAAUGAUUGUGUCCAUGAGUGUGCUUUGUUGCUGGUUGGGGAUAUUCUUUGGAGAGGAGACUCAUCAGCUCCUCUAUUGUUGAUAUGAUAGGUAUUUCCAUCUUUUGCUGAUACACAUCUAUGUUAUGGGUGCCUGGUUAGUUAGUUUUUCUCCCUUCAAUGUUGGUACAAUGAGGACAUGCAAAAUAUGGGCUUAAUUUCUGAGAUGAAAAUUUAGUGUGGAUGGCCAUGUCUUUUUUUUUGCGGGUAGUGUGGAUGGUGUCUACCUCCCUUUCAGAACCCCCUCACGGACAUCCAUGUCGCGAGAGCGUGUCAAUGUGCGUGUAGUGCUGCGAAUCGUGGAGGGACAGGUGCAUGGGGAUGACACGAGUCAGUGGGAAUGGGAAUAGGGAUGUGAAGCGACUAUCCUUGCUGCUUGGGGAGGGGGGAUCGGAACGACGACGACCGCGUCGGGGAGGAGUCUGUGGAAACACAGAAUUCAGCGAACAAAGAAACGAACUAAAGUAAUGAACAUGAUACUGGAAUUACUUUGCUUCGUUGAGAAUUCUCUCGGCCCUUCUAUUUUUUUACCCAUCAGGCACUAUUUUAUUCACAUGUAAAAUUUGGGCCAUCGAUGAGCCUACAGAACAGAUCUCCAAGCAUGUAGUUUUUAAAAUAAGCCAAGGAUAACGACAAGAAAGACUCAUCAUUUUCCUUUGCACGGUGCAGAAAGAUGCACUGCUAAUGAUUUACUGGAGCUUUUUGGUCGUCUUUGGCUGAUGUUUUCCUAGGUUUUCAUCCAUUAGAAGGCCUAAAUAAUUCAAUGGUUAUGAUUAGUGCUACAGUAUUUCUAUUAUUAAAAAAAUCCACUGUGUUCUAACUUCUAGAUCCGGUAUAGAAGACAUUUGAUAACAUGUCUAUGUAUUUUAGUUUGGCUCCCACUACUAUCAAGCAUAGGUGUGGAAAUACUUGACAAUGAGAUUGAUGAGAUAUUUUAGCAGGAACAAGUUAAGUUCUUGAUUGGCAGGACACACCACCUCCUCCGCCGGCUAACUAAGAGAAGCCUGGGUUAUCCGCAAAUUCUGAGUUUAGUCAUGUAAAAUAGUACUCCAUGUAUGUGGAUUAUUUUAAAAUACAAAUGAUAGAUGCAUCUAUUUUUUGACAACUUCA